UACAGAGGGUGCGAGCGUUGUCCGGAAUCACUGGGCGUAAAGGGCGCGUAGGCGGCCUGAUAAGUAGGGGGUGAAAUCCUGUGGCUUAACUGCAGGGCUGCCUCCUAGACUGUUAGGCUCGAGCACGGUAGAGGCAGAUGGAAUUCCCGGUGUAGCGGUGGAAUGCGUAGAGAUCGGGAAGAACAUCGGUGGCGAAGGCGGCCUGCUGGGCUAUGGCUGACACUGAGGCGCGACAGCGUGGGGAGCAAACAGG
rnacentral:rRNA from 1 species